AUAUUUUUCAAGUUGCCUUAUAUCAGAGAGAAUGUUGAAAUGAUACAGAGAAGGCCCCUUGCAAGGAUGACACACAAAUUAGUGAAGCAUUCCAUAUUUUU
rnacentral:snRNA from 1 species